CGCGCGGCGGGCGGGGCGGGGGCACGGGGGGCCUACGGGAGGCAGCAGUGGGGAAUAUUGGACAAUGGGCGGAAGCCUGAUCCAGCAACGCCGCGUGAGGGAUGACGGCCUUCGGGUUGUAAACCUCUUUCAGCACAGACGAAGCGAGAGUGAGCGGUAUGCAGAYGAAG
rnacentral:rRNA from 1 species